GUCUGCAACUCGACUACAUGAAGCUGGAAUCGCUAGUAAUCGCAGAUCAGAAUGCUGCGGCGAAUACGUUCCCGGGUCUUGUACACACCGCCCGUCACACCAUGGGAGUCGGAAAUGCCCGAAGCCGGUGACCAAACCAAUAAGGAAGGAGCCGUCGAAGGCAGGUCUGAUAACUGGGGGUGAAGUCGUAACAAGGUAGC
rnacentral:rRNA from 1 species